GAUGAACGCUGGCGGCGUGCCUAAUACAUGCAAGUCGAGCGAACGGACGAGAAGCUUGCUUCUCUGAUGUUAGCGGCGGACGGGUGAGUAACACGUGGAUAACCUACCUAUAAGACUGGGAUAACUUCGGGAAACCGUAGCUAGUACCGGAUAAUAUUUUGAACCGCAUGGUUCAAAAGUGAAAGACGGUCUUGCUGUCACUUAUAGGUGGAUCCGCGCUGCAUUAGCUAGUUGGUAAGGUAACGGCUUACCAAGGCAACGAUGCAUAGCCGACCUGAGAGGGUGAUCGGCCACACUGGAACUGAGACACGGUCCAGACUCCUACGGGAGGCAGCAGUAGGGAAUCUUCCGCAAUGGGCGAAAGCCUGACGGAGCAACGCCGCGUGAGUGAUGAAGGUCUUCGGAUCGUAAAACUCUGUUAUUAGGGAAGAACAUAUGUGUAAGUAACUGUGCACAUCUUGACGGUACCUAAUCAGAAAGCCACGGCUAACUACGUG
rnacentral:rRNA from 1 species